rnacentral:misc_RNA from 1 species
UCAGGGUAUCCAAGGCUUGCUGUGG